CUCUCACAGUGCAUCAGCUCACCUGUAAUCAAGGUGAAGAAAAAAAAGGCCACCAGCAAGAAGGUGGGACACAUUUCACAAACACACUCGGUGUGAAGAAGAUUGGUGCCGUCACCAUUUUUAUCUUCCCCCCCGAGACCCCAAGAAGAAAAAUUAUGUAGUUUCCUGAGGCAAAGCCCUUUCUUUUAAUUAGACGCACAUUUUAUGCUCUUCAUUACAUGCCCCGCAACCCUCCACAGCUGCCCCCAUGGCCCCCUUCAUUUCGGGAAUUUGCUGGGUUUUGCUCCCCGGAGCACAAUCUGCUAAUUGCUGUGGCAUUCUGGAAUUCCUGGGAUGCGACAAAGACCAGGAAGCGUCUAUGCCGCAGCUGCUCCAACAAUCCCGGCAGCUUCAGUCAGCCGUGCCCCGGGUCAGCCGCUCCGCCGAUAAGGCAACCGUCAUGUCAGCGGGUGGUUCAGCCAAUGGGACCACAAGGCUACGCUGGAGGCUCUGCCUACCCCCGCACCUGCUCUCUGACGGUCCCCAAGCUCAGCCUGCUGCUGGGGAGCUUAUCAGUGCCGCUGCACCUGCAUGCCUCAUUAGCAAACCUGCACCACUGCACAAGGCCCGACUCUCUCCUUCCAAAGACACACACACACACGCAGACAAAAACACAUCUACACACAAAGCGGGGGGGAGGAGAGAUAUACCCUGUGCAAAGAGACCACGUCGUCCACAAACGGCAGAGGCGGACCACUUCUGCUAUACACUUAACCUUCUACGAAAGGGCUGCUGCGAAACGCAGACGAGUCACACCAGGCCCUGCGUGGGUGACGCUUCCAUACCUCUCCACGCAGAAUGGCGAAAUCUCAGUGACACACACGGCACCCUUCAACUGCUCAGCCAGAAACGUUGAGCCACGGGCCAUCCGCACACCGUCGGCCGAUUUUAUUGGUCUUUCCAGCCUCGGGAGCUGGGAUCCUUUCCACAGCACAUUAUAUGGUGCCGAGGUUCUGCCUCUCUAAUGAGGGCUGAGUAUUUGGGUAGCGGUUCUUUUCAGCAUGGGGGGGUGCACUAGGGUAGAGUGGGUUUGUGGGAGCGACUGUGCAUCCACAGAAGAGUCCAGUUGAAAAAGUGUCGCCAGCGGAUGAAAUAC
rnacentral:lncRNA from 1 species